GCCCCAAAGGCUAAGUUUUAAAAGGGAAUCCGAUGCAAUUUCGGAGCUGUACCCGCAGCUGUAAUCCUCUAAAAAGUCUUGUACAUUGAUGUCACUGUUGCCUAUAUGGGCGAUGGGAAGGCGUGCAAGAUGGAGGUAGCCAGAAAACCUGCCAAAGAUUAAAA
rnacentral:ncRNA from 1 species